UACGGGGGGGGCAAGCGUUGUUCGGAAUUACUGGGCGUAAAGGGCUCGUAGGCGGCCAACUAAGUCAUACGUGAAAUCCCUCGGCUUAACCGGGGAACUGCGUCUGAUACUGGAUGGCUUGAGUUCGGGAGAGGGAUGCGGAAUUCCAGGUGUAGCGGUGAAAUGCGUAGAUAUCUGGAGGAACACCGGUGGCGAAGGCGGCAUCCUGGACCGAUACUGACGCUGAGGCGCGAAAAGCGUGGGGAGCAAACAGG
rnacentral:rRNA from 1 species